GGUCUCACUUUGUUGUUCAGGCUCGUCUUGAACUGCUGGUCGCAAGGGAUCCUCCUCUCAGCGUCCCAGUGUGCUAGGAUUACAGGUGUGAGCCACUGAUCCUGGCCUGAAUAACUACCCUUCUAACUACAUCAGAUAAGAGACUUUCUGCCAUAGUCCACAUUGGGCUUUUGUGUACCCAAGCGCUGAUCACAAUGGUAUUGUGACCAGUUUUCCCAAAGUAAGUUUGACAUUUGGUUUGCUUUUAUUCAUUUCCUUCAUUCAUUCUAUCAAAAAAUAUUUAUCAGGCCCCCAUUGUGCCCCAGGCACUACACCAGCCACUGGAGGAGACUUGCGUGACUAAGGUAGUUAUAAUCGGCCCUAGAUUAAAUUUGCAGCUUGGGAAGAAUAAAAUGAGGCACCAUGCUACGGAGUACACAGAAGAAAUACCUGACCUGUAUUUGGAGAGUGAGAGAAGGCUUUUUUGUUCUUCUUUUUUGUUGUUCUUUUUGGUUUUGUGAGAUUUUCACAGUUUAAAAAAGCCUUCCUCACUCCUUGGUCUGAAACCGAAUGAAAAUUAGCUUUGACAAAUGAUUGGCUUGCAGCUUAUCCCUGUGAAUUGUGGCCAUGUUGAUUUAAUGAGCAGCUCCUAUAUGGAAGCCAGUGUUACACACACAGACAGACUCACAUGCCUUGCCACUGUUUCCCAGACUGCCUGUGGUAACCAUGCUUCCGGGAAGCCCACGUAGUAUGAAUUAGAUACGCACUGAAUAUCGAAUUAAAUAUUAGAAAGCUGUCAUUGCUGCCAUUACCAGGCAUGCUGCUAGGUCCCCCAAAAGUUUUGAUUGAAUGUUGCACAUUAUCCAUCAAAAGGGAAAGUGUGGAGGUUCCAGAUUCUUCACCAAAGGGGAGUCACACCUUCCUUUGCUAGGCUAGCUGAGAAGGGAUAAUCAACUUUCACUGAACUGAGUGAAGUUUAGGAUCCUACCUCAGCCAAGACCCUGGUUUAUUCACCAGGGUCCUUCUCCUUGUGGGUCCUGAACCAUAAUUCUUGUUCCCUAAGCAUGGAGACCCUGCCAGAAACGUCACUCUCUUUUCAGUCUUUCCACUUAGCUUUUUGCUCUGUUAACCUCUUGGAGAGAAAACCAGGGUCAGUUUUCUGCCCCUCACCAGGAUCUAGGCCUCUUAAAUGUUCAUCCUUGCCUUUUGAACCCUCCAAGGCUGUCUAGAGCUCUGAUGAUUUCUCUGCUUCCAGUAGCGGAUUCUUACUCUACACCUAGAAUCUGCAAAUGUCCCAGGGUAAAAGAAGUUGCAGAUCAACAGCUCACCUCUCUGUGAUUCUGCCCUCUUCAAACUGUGGCCUUGAAAGCCACCUUUGCAUCAGCGGUUCUCUUAGGUCUUUUAACAGUUUUCGAUUUCAUUUUAUUUUAUGUGGCCUUUCUAGUUAUUUUUGGUGGGAACAUCAGUCUGCUGCCUGACAUCCUAUUCAGGGGCAAAAGUCGUAAGCCUGUAUUUGAAACUAUAGGGCAGGAGCUGUGUUCAAGCAUGUAGCUUUUCAGAAGUCUAAAGGACUUUAUCCAGUUUCCAUUUCAGGUGUCUAAAGAGGUCUUCUCUGCUCAGAAAGUUAAUGUUCCUCAAGAUUUGACAAAUGCGUGUCAAAAUUCAUGUUGCUUCUGCUUUUAUUAUCAUAUGGUGAGAUUUUUUUACAAACACAUUAAAGCAUAGCACUUAGUGAUUCCAAGUGUUAAGCAAUUAUUUGUUAAAUCAGCUUUAUUUUAAUAAGGCUUAUAGACUCACUUGGAGUUGACCGGGAUUGAUUUUGUGCUGCUUUCUGGAGGCUCCAUUGUGCAUGGAAAUGGAGAGAUGGUCUGGACUUUGGUGGUGCAGGCACCCAGAGAGACGCUCUGUUUCACUCUGAGAAGCUACAGUCCGUGAGUCUGGUCACCACUGCAUAAACAGCCAGUGGACCCAACUGUGGAAAAUAUCAAGGUCCCAAAUAUCUGACUGUCCAGAAGCGUCUUACUCUCCUUAGGUAGCACACAACAAUCAGCCUUUUUCUGAGGCCAUGGCAUGCCACAGAUUGAUCAUAGAGAAUAGUUGGUCCCAGAUCAAAGCCCAUAUAGAAUUGAGGAUGUGUAAAGGCUGUCUGACUGGCUUACUCCUUGGCUUAAAGCCACUUUAAUCUAGGACCUUGAGGAAGCCAGAAUGCAUGUCGAUUACCUUAAGGAAAGAAGAGAAAUCCUUAUGGAAACAGUACCACCUCCAUAUCCAUAGGGCUCCCCUUCCCGCCCUCCACCCUGCUGUUACCUAUCAGUCAUCUGAAAGGAAGAUCCCACAGAGCUGACAGAGUCCUUUAGAGAGAAGAUCCUCAUCUUCUCUCCGUAGGUUACUUGUCUAUUUAAGAAGCAAACCUCUUGUUACCCGCUGGGAGCAUCUUGAUGUUAGAAACCAUGCCACUAUUUUUAGUGCGUGUCCUUGUGCUUCUGCACGAUGAGUCAGGAUUCUCGUUUUAAAAAUACUUGGCAUUCCUCAGAAGAAAGAUAAACACAUUUAAUGUUCUCAGUUGCUACUAUUCUAAUCGCAAAGUCAAGAGUUGCUUCUUUUCUUAACUGCCUUCAGUGCCGCAGAACUAUCUGGGCCUCUUCCUCUCCCCCUCCUUGUGUGAUCACUCCUUUCAAAAGCAACAGCCAAAGCAGAUGCAGGGGAGAUGCAUUGGUGCUCAUAAAUUCAAGGAGCUAAAAUGGCAACAGCUGUGGCAGUUUCAGGAUUUCAGCAGAAAAGUACCAGGCAUUUCCCUCCUUCUUUCUGCCUCCUGACUGGUGCUUCUCUUGAGGCCUGACAUAACAUGAGAUGCCCCUCCUCUUGGAACCUGUAAGUAAUAAACUCUUCAUGAAACUGCCUUUGCAAAAUUGUGACAGUAAGAGAAAUCUAACAUAACUGACUCCAUCUUGCUUCUAACCUCACGAGCUAACUGUCUCUGUUCAUUCUAAGCUAACUAUGGGAGGAAUUUUGUUUAUAAUUUAAAACAAAGAUGAAAGCAGAUCCUUUCUGAAGCUAAACCCCUCCUUACUUGGGGACCAAAAUCACCUUUGUAAAACGAAUGAAAGUCCACAAGGUUACAAUUAUGUUAGGGGCCUGAAUUCUGCUAAGAUGUAGGUAUAAACUCUAACCAGUCAUUGUUUUAUAACUUGCUUUUUAAAAACUACUUACUACUCAGGAAUCAUAUAGCCACAAAAUUAAUAACUUUACCAAUUGCCCCUCUGGAGAACAUUGCUAUUGUAAAACUAAAGACUGGCAUUUGAGAUAUUUUUCAGAUCUUGCAUUCUGUAUGAACCAACUGCCACCACCUGGACCAGUAACCCACACCCUGGAACUAACUCAGCACAAGACAGUGUUGACCCCCUAUGAUUUCAUCUCCAACCCAACCAACCAUUAUUCCCCAUUUCCUAGUCCCCUUGCUUGCUAAACUAGCCUUGAAAAACCCUUGUCCCCGAAUUCUCAGGGAGGCAGAUUUGAGAAUUAUCUCUCAUCAUGCCAUUUAGCUGACCCUGCAAUAAUUAAAUCUUUUCUUGCUGUGAACACUUGCUGUUCUCAGUACCUUGGCUUUUCUGGGCGGUGGGCAAGAAGACCCACCUGGGCAAUUACAACCAUACCUGAUUAAGACAAAUUGCCAGGCUGGGUACAGUGGCUUACACCUGUAAUAUCCAAAUUUGGGAGGCCAAGAAGGAAGGAUUGCUUGAGCCCAGGAGGUUGAGGCUGCAAGUGAACCAUGAUUAUGCCACUGCACUCCAGCCUGGGCAAUAGAGUGAGAACCUGUCUCUAAAUAAAUAAAUAAAUAAAAUCCCAGGUACAUUUUAAGAUACUCCCAUAACCACAAAAAUAGGGUUGAAGAAUAAUAUGCAAAUAAAAAAAUAGUAUCAGAACUGAAGUGAAGGUAAAAAUAUG